rnacentral:lncRNA from 1 species
GCAAGUCAGCUCUUUGUAAGACUCAUGAGUCACCUCCAUGAUGUUCCCAAGACCAAUGUUGUCAAGCACAGCUCUCACCUCUUCAUAAAUACCCAUCUUUCUCAACAGCUCAACAUCAGGGUACAUUGUUCCUUCAUGAGACACAGCUUGAAGUUUCUUGAGGUACUCAUUGUAAGUGACCGACUUUGGCUCUGUUUUCUUGAUCACCUUUUUCUUCUUU